rnacentral:rRNA from 1 species
UACGUAGGUGGCAAGCGUUGUCCGGAUUUACUGGGCGUAAAGAGCGCGCAGGCGGUCGUUCAAGUCGCGUGUGAAAGCCCCCGGCUCAACUGGGGAGGGUCACGCGAUACUGAUCGACUCGAAGGCAGGAGAGGGUAGUGGAAUUCCCGGUGUAGCGGUGAAAUGCGUUGAUAUCAUCAGGAACACCGGUGGCGAAGGCGGCUUUCUGGGUCUUACCUGACGCUGAGGAACGAAAGCCAGGGGAGCGAACGGG